AUUGAACGCUGGCGGCAGGCCUAACACAUGCAAGUCGAACGAGUGGCGGACGGGUGAGUAAUGUCUGGGAAACUGCCUGAUGGAGGGGGAUAACUACUGGAAACGGUAGCUAAUACCGCAUACCAUCGGAUGUGCCCAGAUGGGAUUAGCUUGUAGGUGGGGUAAAGGCUCACCUAGGCGAAGAUCCCUAGCUGGCCUGAGAGGAUGACCAGCCACACUGGAACUGAGACACGGUCCAGACGCCUACGGAAGGCAGCAGUGGGGAAUAUUGCACAAUGGGCGCAAGCCUGAUGCAGCCAUGCCGCGUGUAUGAAGAAGGCCGUCGGGUUGUAAAGUACUUUCAGCGGGGAGGCGUUACCCGCAGAAGAAGCACCGGCUAACUCCGUGCCAGCAGCCGCGGUAAUUC
rnacentral:rRNA from 1 species